UUUCGUUAAAACCGUAGCCAUAUUGCUGGUGAUAUUCCUUUCUCCAGAAACGGUAUACGAAUUAUUUUACGGAGCGUAUCGAAACUUGGGUAGGUACCACAGAAGAAGGCUUUCGUAAAGCAGUGUGUUCAACAAAAGCGUAAUCAAUUUGCAAGAAUAAUGGAUCUAUAAGUAUAUGGAAAUACUCUAAAGUAGAGAAGACUGCAGUCGUUUCUUCAACCAUGAACAUUUUAACGAUUUUUGUCGUGGGCGUUUGGAGUUUGUUUUAAAAACCGCUACUAAUUUUCGUUAUUAAAACAUAUCCCAUAUUGCUGUGAUAUUAUCUGCUAACUUUUGAGGAUGGACAACUUUUCCCGAAGGAAUUCCAAAGAAUUUUAAAAAAUUCCGAUGAAUUGUGGAAUUGUAAAGUUUUCUAAGUAUAGAAGUAUUGCGUUCGCUGUUUACUCCUCGGUUUGUCCUCUUAAUAUAGAACAAGCUACACCUGAAAUAUUGUAAUAUUUUAGAAACAGCUUUCCAAAAUAAGUGUAUAAAGAACCAGCGAACCAACUGAGCGAACAAUUCGCAAUGUCGUCAAAAAAGAAAAGAGACUAGAAGUAUUGGAGAUAGAGUAGGAAGUGUGCUUAAGUAUGGUGUACGUUCGUGCCAAAAUAUUGCUACUCUAAACUCGCACCUGUCGAUUCAAAAGCGUUUGCAGAUUUUGGACCUUUCUUUGGCACCUUUUGCAUCAGAUAUUGAAUCUACCCUCAUAUAAAAUUCACGUCACAUAAAGACUAAAACCUUAAGACGAUGGACCUCAAAGAUUUUGCGUAGCUUGUGUAAUAGAGCUACAUGCAGGAGCCUCUUAAACUAUGUUAAUAAGGAAAUUAGUCGCAUACCUAUGGCGGGAUGAAAAUCCUCAUGAGGUUUGAGAGAUAGACGCUUGAUAACUCUUUAUUUCUGGCACAAAUUCGAAGAUAUUGACUUGCUACACAGCGUUUACCACAUCGACAAGUUCUCAGGUCGCAAUAUCUCACAUUUUAGCUAUUUAUACAAGCGAGCGACGAGAUUUUGAGACUUAACGCCUCUGGAUUUUUUUUCGGGCUUUAUCAAAAGUAAACCAAAAUCCAACAUCCGUCAAGUUAUUGUCAAUGUUUCCGGAAUUUACACGAAAACUAACCAAGACUAAAAUCAAAUGAAAAAUAUUACAGACCAAUAAUUGACUAAAUAAAAUAAG